AUAAGUUCUUGGUGAUAACUAGAAACCCAAAUUCCAUUCCUAGUCGAUAAAAGGGGCCUGGAUUGCUGUGAGCAAGACAGCAGAGCAUGGAAAGGGCGAACAAGAGACGAGCGAGCUUUAGAGACUGACAUUGUGAUGAAUUUUCUCUCCCAGCUCUGAGAAGUUUAUCCGGUGGUCGUACAGAAGCCCUACUUGAAACCUUUUGUAAGUCUAAGUGCUUCUGAAAGGUAGGGUAACUGCUCAGAGAGGGUAUGAGCCUUGCCUAAGGUCACAGAGCCGGCCAAAGCACCAGGCUCUCCUCCAGGGGUGCAGCUCCCUGCCCUCCAGUGGUGUCGUGAAAGAAUGUCAUUCACCCUCCCGUCAACCCUGAGAACAAGAGGCCAUUUCUCAGCGGGUGAAUCAAGCUACCAUGAGUGCCAAGGUGUCAGAGGGACUCAACUUGUCCCUUGCCAGUCACAUGAUCCUUGGCUGAGGCCUCCCCUUUGGAAAGCAGGACAAUGUCGCAUCUGCAUCUCACUCACGGACCCCAGGUGCCAGCUGAGGGUCAGGCGGCAAGGUCACGGCGUUGACAAUAAUCACCAUCCAGUGACAGACAGCCGUGUCUGGCUCGGUGCUAAGCCCUCACACGUGUGAACUCUCUUCAUCUUUGCACCAGCUUGGUGACGAAGGUAUAUUUUAUGCCCACCUCCAAGCCUGUUUCAUAAAUAAAGAUUCAGAGGCUUCGAGAAGGGGAGAGGUGCCCCGAUCGCACCCUAGAAGGAGGCAGGCGGGAGGACCUUCUCCGCGGAACUCAGGUUGGACUCAGACUCACAGAGAUGCCUCAGCUGCCACCUGCCCCCCGCUUGAGCAGAACUUUCGUUCUAGAGAACUUGCUGGCUUCGUAGUAAUCCCUUCCUUUCUGGCUCCUGGGAUCUUGUUCACUGUCUGGUCCUCUUCAAGCCCUGGAACACAGUAGGUGUUCAACAAAUAUUUGCAGAAAGAAUAGUUCUCAUUCAUGUCGCUGUUUGAUCUUCCCCCACAGCCCUGUGAGGGAGCGAAUUAGGAAAUGUGAUUGCUGCCGGUGUUAGUCAUCUCGCUAGCGGGAGGGAUGGAGCGACUUCCUCCUGGUCACACAGCCCAGCCACUGAGCUGGAGCUCCGGGCUCCUGGCUCCCUUCCCAGGCCUUUCCAACCCUGUCAAGACCUGGGCCCCUGCUGUUACAGGACAAAGAUAUUAAUUGGGAGGAGGAAUCCUUUGAGUCAUUACCAGCAAUAAUAAUAAUAAUUACAGUCAUACUCAUUGUAAUCUCUAACUCAUAGAAGCCUCGUAUCAAUAGCACCAAUGAGGCACUGUUAUUAUCCCGGUUUUAUAGUUAGUCCCAGAGAGAUUCAGCACUGCCUCAGCAUCACACAGCUAAGAAGUGGUGGAGCUGGGACUCAGACUCCAUCUGGCUCCAGAGCUCGUAGACCACAUACUCCUAACAUUUUAGAACAAAUUAGCUUCCUCAGCUGAACCCAGCAAGGCUCACAGCACAGCCAGGCUGAGCUUGGGUGAGGGAUGGGGCUGAAUGAAAUGUCCACCCGUUCCCUCCUUCCAUUCAUUCUGACAGUUGGCGAGCCUUCCCUGAGCUCCACCUGCGUGCUCAGCCAAGUGUCUGGCCCCAGGAUGUGGCCCAAAUGGGAAAGGGCUCUCCCUGUCCCAUGCAGCCAUGGGCCUGGCAGGAGAGGCGGAUGUCAUAAUUAUGUGGUUAAUUGUUUCAUUAGAGCAAAGAUGAGACCACCAUGGAGGUUAGGGCUCUGCCAGCCUCUAAUGGGCACGGACCAGGGUUGGGAGCUGGGGAGGCUGCCCCAGGGGGCUGACAGCUCAGCUCAAAGCUGAAGGGUGGGUCUGGGUCAGGUGAGCGGAGUGGGACAGCAUUCCAGGCAGAGGGCACAGCCUGGGCGGCAGCUUGGCUCUGACUAGGACGGAAAGACAGCAGGUGAGGCUGGUGCUGGCAAGGGAGGAGGAAAGGAGUUGAGGGGGAGGGGGGUGCCAGGGACGUGGGCCAGCACCCACCCGCCCAGCGCUUGAGUCCUCCCAUUCAGAAUGAGAGCUCCUAUAAUCGUCCUUAGUUUUGCUCUUAUCCUGAGAGAGCCAGGGGGAAGGGAACGUUCAAAAUUCCCAUUCCUCCCCAGCUAGCUGGGUGUGGAUGGUCCUCCAAUGAGCACUUACUCCACCACGCCAUGCAUUUAUGCAGCUGUUUGCACUCGAUGACGUGCUCGCUGUCCUGUUCGACCCCGACAGCCCCCUGGAGGGAGGAAAGGAGCACAGGUGUCAGGCCCCUGUACAGCAGAGGAAACUAAGGCAGGAGGAGGUGGUUCGCCACCCCAGCAUCCCGCCCCCAGCACACAGUCUGAUGUCCAGGCCUUCCUUUCACGGUUGCCUUUUCUCCUCUGUAAGAUGCACUUAUCAGCACCUGAGUCUCUAGGUUGCUGGGGGUUACAUGACAUAAUCCAGGUAACGAGCUGAGCGGUGGAGGUUCAAGGUCAGUGUCCGGGAAACAGUGGCUGCCAUCAUCAUAACCGUGAUCAUCACUCUUAGGGUUCCUGCACUCGACUUCUUCCUGAGCACCUGCUCUGCUGUGUGCCGGGCUCCAUGCCAGGCGCUGGGAGGCGGGGAGGUGUGGGAUGUGUCCCCUGUUCCUAAGGAACUUACGGUCUAGCGGGGGAGGCAGUUAAUCAGCAACCUGAGGCCAAGAAGGAGCCGGGCUCAGGGCAGGCAUGGCCAGGAAGCCCAGAGGAGAUGGAAUUUGAGCUGCACUGUGACAGCAUCUUGGACCUUGGAAAUGGGAGAGUGGGUGAGGACUCCGGGGACACCUCCAACAGAUAGUGGUGGAUGUCCCCGGGGCUGGAGCGGACAAAGGUGAGGCUGGUGAGUUCGUGAGAGUCACACCCGAAGGGAAUGAAUUGCUGCUCCGUGUCCCAUGGUGAGUGGGUGUGCACAGGGCAUCAGGUGUAAGACCCACUGCCUGGACCACCACGGUCAACGCAGCACUGACAGACGCAAGGCUCAUGGUUUCAAUGAAGCGUUCCACCAAGUGGAGCAGAUCCUUCUCGACAAUAGCAUUUAUUUGGAAUUCUUUUCUAAUUAUACAAGGAAAUUAUGCACAGUGCAGAAAAGAUGGGACGCAAACACAUACACAGCAGGGGAAAAGUGUCAAAGUCAUUUGUGGCUCAGCACGUGGAUAGCCAUCCUUCCCGUCCUUUUAUUCUCUGAAGGGGCCGAUUCCAAUGCUGCGAGAGGAAGCACAGGAGGUGACAGGCCAGAGGAGGUCCAGGACAGCUUUGGGGAGAAGGUGACAUUCAGACUCACCCUUAUAGGAGGGGCAGGGUUUGGAAAGAUCACAGAAAAGAAGAGGGACAACAUGGCUAAGGCACACGGACUGGGGAGAUGGAUAAAGAGCGUCAGCCUCUCGCGUGCACAUCGAGUGUCACCUCGUCUGCUCGUCCCAACACUCCCUGGGGUGGAGACAAGAGCACCCUCAUGGCCAGGGUCCUAGACCCAGGGCCGUGAAGGGGGGAUGCCAGGAAUGGGGGCGGGUUACUGGGGACUGAACCCCACUGAGCUCUGUUGGCCACUCCGGGCCCCUAUCCUUGUGAGGAAGUGGAAGAGCUUAAGGAGCUGGGGCCAUACCAGCCACUGAAGGAAGUGGCAUGAGGGGAACUUCCAUCCGUCUGUCCCCUGCUGCAGCGGCUUUAUCGGGGCCCUGCAGAUCUCUACAAUCGCUGCUGCCCAUCUGAAGCCGGGCUUCUGGGAACAGGGGCCUGCCACCCUCGAGGAGAUAAGGCAGCCCUGGUCAUGUGGCUCGAACUGUUGGUGACCAAGCAGAAGCUGCAGCAAGGCCGAUGGCCGGCUGGAGGGGAGGCCAUGCCAGCUUCUGACCACCUCCCCAGGAAAACAGCAAUAGGAAUGGUAUUUAAAACCCUCCCAGGUAUACCAUGCCUUUUGGUUCACAAAGUGCUUUUACCCCCAUUCUCAGUGCAAAAAGGCAAGGUGGGCCUCAGAGCAGGCCUGGGGUCUAGUCCUCAGGCUACCACUUGCUGGCUCUGUGACCGUGGGCAGCUGACAUCACCUCUCUGAGCCUCAGUUUCCUCAUUCGUCCAAUAAGAGCAGUAACACUCUCUCCUUUUCCGAUCUCCGUGUCUAGCCAGCCUGUUGCCACCUUCCUCCUGGCCCUGUUCCCUGCAGUGGGUACCACCUUCGUCUGCACGCCAGACCCCAGACAUUUGCCAGGCUGGGAGUUGAGUCAGACCUCGUCCACCAACUUGCUGCUGGAGUGGACGGGCCUAGACAGCCAGAGGAUUCUUGUCCUGACUCCCAUCCGGCAGCCAGCACUUGCCAGGCCCAGCCAGGGCUGGAUGAGAGGGAGGGCGGAGAGGAGGGGAGCCCCGAUGGGAAGGCUCCGAUUUUGCCGGCGAAGGCUUUUGUGCUCCGGAAUGCCAGACCAGUGC
ensembl:lncRNA